UGGGGAAUAUUGCACAAUGGGCGCAAGCCUGAUGCAGCCAUGCCGCGUGUGUGAAGAAGGUCUUCGGGUUGUAAAGCACUUUCAGCGGGGAGGAAGUCGAUAAGGUUAAUAACCUUGUCGAUUGACGUUACCCGCAGAAGAAGCACCGGCUAACUCCGUGCCAGCAGCCGCGGUAAUACGGAGGGUGCAAGCGUUAAUCGGAAUUACUGGGCGUAAAGCGCACGCAGGCGGUCUGUCAAGUCGGUUGUGAAAUCCCCGGGCUUAACCUGGGAACUGCAUUCGAAACUGGGAGGCUGGAGUCUUGUAGAGGGGGGUAGAAUUCCAUGUGUAGCGGUGAAAUGCAUAGAGAUGUGGAGGAAUACCGGUGGCGAAGGCGGCCCCCUGGACAUAAACUGACGCACAGGUGCGAAAGCGUGGGGAGCAAACAGG
rnacentral:rRNA from 1 species